rnacentral:rRNA from 1 species
UGGGGAAUAUUGCACAAUGGGCGCAAGCCUGAUGCAGCCAUGCCGCGUGUGUGAAGAAGGCCUUCGGGUUGUAAAGCACUUUCAGCGAGGAGGAAGGGUUCAGUGUUAAUAGCACUGUGCAUUGACGUUACUCGCAGAAGAAGCACCGGCUAACUCCGUGCCAGCAGCCGCGGUAAUACGGAGGGUGCAAGCGUUAAUCGGAAUUACUGGGCGUAAAGCGCACGCAGGCGGUUUGUUAAGUCAGAUGUGAAAUCCCCGCGCUUAACGUGGGAACUGCAUUUGAAACUGGCAAGCUAGAGUCUUGUAGAGGGGGGUGAGAAUUCCAGGUGUAGCGGUGAAAUGCGUAGAGAUCUGGAGGAAUACCGGUGGCGAAGGCGGCCCCCUGGACAAAGACUGACGCUCAGGUGCGAAAGCGUGGGGAGCAAAACAGGAUUAGAUACCCUGGUAGUCCACGCUGUAAACGAUGUCGACUUGGAGGUUGUGCCCUUGAGGCGUGGCUUCCGGAGCUAACGCGUUAAGUCGACCGCC